GAUGAACGCUGGCGGCGUGCUUAACACAUGCAAGUCGAGCGAAGCGGUUAAGUUGAUUUCUUCGGAUUGAUUCUUAACUGACUGAGCGGCGGACGGGUGAGUAACGCGUGGGUGACCUGCCCCAUACCGGGGGAUAACAGCUGGAAACGGCUGCUAAUACCGCAUAAGCGCACAGGGCUGCAUGGCUCCGUGUGAAAAACUCUGGUGGUAUGGGAUGGGCCCGCGUCUGAUUAGGCGGUUGGCGGGGUAACGGCCCACCAAACCGACGAUCAGUAGCCGGCCUGAGAGGGCGACCGGCCACAUUGGGACUGAGACACGGCCCAAACUCCUACGGGAGGCAGCAGUGGGGAAUAUUGCACAAUGGGGGAAACCCUGAUGCAGCGACGCCGCGUGAGCGAAGAAGUAUUUCGGUAUGUAAAGUUCUAUCGGCAGGGAAGAUAAUGACGGUACCUGACUAAGAAGCCCCGGCUAACUACGUGCCAGCAGCCGCCGUAAUAC
rnacentral:rRNA from 1 species